ACGUAGGGCGCGAGCGUUGUCCGGAUUUAUUGGGCGUAAAGAGCUCGUAGGCGGCUUGUCGCGUCGACCGUGAAAACUUGGGGCUCAACCCCAAGCCUGCGGUCGAUACGGGCAGGCUCGAGUUCGGUAGGGGAGACUGGAAUUCCUGGUGUAGCGGUGAAAUGCGCAGAUAUCAGGAGGAACACCGAUGGCGAAGGCAGGUCUCUGGGCCGAUACUGACGCUGAGGAGCGAAAGCGUGGGGAGCGAACAGG
rnacentral:rRNA from 1 species